UUUUCGUUUAUUUCAGAUAUUUAAAUUAAUGACCGCGAUGAAACGGCAUGGAAUCAGCACUUCUACGCCAAAUUCAGUCUAUGCGAAGAGGAUUUUUAUCUAAGAGAUCACUAUCAAUGACAAUAUUAUCACCACCAUCAUCAGCAGCACCAACAACAACAGCAA